rnacentral:tRNA from 1 species
GAGAGUAUAGCUCAGUGGUAGAGCACACACUUAGUGUGCACAACAUCCUGGGUUCAAGCCCCAGCACCUCCA